rnacentral:rRNA from 1 species
UACGAAGGGGGCUAGCGUUGCUCGGAAUCACUGGGCGUAAAGGGCGCGUAGGCGGCGACUUAAGUCGGGGGUGAAAGCCCGUGGCUCAACCACGGAAUGGCCUUCGAUACUGGGUUGCUUGAGUGUGGUAGAGGUUGGUGGAACUGCGAGUGUAGAGGUGAAAUUCGUAGAUAUUCGCAAGAACACCGGUGGCGAAGGCGGCCAACUGGACCAUCACUGACGCUGAGGCGCGAAAGCGUGGGGAGCAAACAGG